UACGAAGGGGGCUAGCGUUGCUCGGAAUUACUGGGCGUAAAGGGCGCGUAGGCGGACAGUUAAGUUGGGGGUGAAAGCCCGGGGCUCAACCUCGGAACUGCCUUCAAUACUGGCUGUCUUGAGUACGGGAGAGGUGUGUGGAACUCCGAGUGUAGAGGUGAAAUUCGUAGAUAUUCGGAAGAACACCAGUGGCGAAGGCGACACACUGGCCCGUUACUGACGCUGAGGCGCGAAAGCGUGGGGAGCAAACAGG
rnacentral:rRNA from 1 species